GAUGAACGCUGGCGGCGUGCUUAACACAUGCAAGUCGAACGAAGCAUUUAGGACAGAUUACUUCGGUUUGAAGGUCUUUAUGACUGAGUGGCGGACGGGUGAGUAACGCGUGGGUAACCUGCCUUGUACUGGGGGAUAGCAGCUGGAAACGGCUGGUAAUACCGCAUAAGCGCACAAUGUUGCAUGACAUGGUGUGAAAAACUCCGGUGGUAUAAGAUGGACCCGCGUCUGAUUAGCUAGUUGGUGAGAUAACAGCCCACCAAGGCGACGAUCAGUAGCCGACCUGGGAGGGUGACCGGCCACAUUGGGACUGAGACACGGCCCAGACUCCUACGGGAGGCAGCAGUGGGGAAUAUUGCACAAUGGAGGAAACUCUGAUGCAGCGACGCCGCGUGAGUGAAGAAGUAAUUCGUUAUGGAAAGCUCUAUCAGCAGGGAAGAUAGUGACGGUACCUGACUAAGAAGCACCGGCUAAAUACGUG
rnacentral:rRNA from 1 species